UGCUCCCACAAAGCUCCCACAAAGACAUUUCAAGUAUGCAUUUGGUUUCCAGGAGGGUGGCAUCAUAUAAUAGGGGGAGUGCAAAGCAUCCCAUGGUUUCACCCCACUGCACAGUCAAGUGGGAGAGGGUUUCCCACCCUACAGACCCAGCCCAGGGAUGGGGAUUCUAUGUUUGAUACACCCCCAGCAUCAGUGACAUCAGUUUAUAUGGUAGCUGUGCUUUGCUUCAGUCAGGUCUACUUGUUCCACGCUGUCUUGCCUCCAGAGGGGUAGAUGUGUGUCAUUUUCCUUUCACAGGAUGCUGCACAGCCUUAUCUAAAUAUAAACAACCUGGGAAAACAUGGGGGAUUAUUGUCUGGGUAAAAAAAAGUAAAGCAAACAGAUCUUAAAUGUGUUUUCCCCCGCCAUUUCUAGGACAGCAACAAUUUGGGAUCAGUCUCCCAAGUUCCCAAAAAAUGUUACUCAUCUGUCAGCAAAAACAUCCCGUGAAGCCUGACGUGGAGUAGCCCAAGCAUGCCUGGCUGCCCCUCCCUAAAAGGCCAAGAUCCCCAAGCAUUUGAGAAGAUGUUGUAGGAGUAAUGGAAACAAACAGCCUCCAAGAUAAAUCUCACAGCCAGCAGCUGAGCUUGGCAUCAUUCCCUUGGGAAAUAUGAAGAGCAAUGGGCAGACAUCUCAGCACAUCCCUCAGUGUGCAUUCUAGAGCUAACAUUGCCAAUUGCCCAGGGUUUGCUGCAGCCUCCUGAAAGGCUGCAAAGAUGUACUCCAGCCUCACAGUCCCAGCUCUUCCCCUGCACUGCAGUGUCCAUCAGGCUGAGUCUGGAGAAGCAAUAGCUAGGCCAAAGCCAAUACCUCGGGCAAGAGCAGUGCUAGGAGAGAAGAGCUGAGCUGACAGCACAAGUGUUGAACAGGGAGCAGCUGAUUUGAGCCCCAGCUCUAAGUCUUGACAUGGGCAGAGAAAUGCCAGGCUGACAGGAAUGCCAUCACUCAGAGAAAGGGGGAUCACAGGAUGUGCAAGAUGCCCUGCUCCACGUCAUUGCCUUCCUCUCAGCCUAUAUCUCCCCAUCCCUGGGGCCCACAGCAGGAAGAGCAAAGCCUGGCUACAAGUUUUACAUCCUAGAUGUCCUUCCCAACACCUCUAUGUUUUUCUCCACCACCAUCUCCUUGCCAGGAAGCUCAGAGGCUUGUCAGGCCCAAUGUGCUCUGGUGUUUUACAGCCAAGCAGUGUGCAGUUAAAUCAGGCCUGGUUCUGCCUCAGCCCCUCCUCACCACCGUGAGUGCUGAUGUAAGUGUAGCCAGUACUCAGUUUAACAGCUGAUAGAGUCAAUUAGCAUGGCUAAUCACAUGAACCAUCACUACAUUACCAACAGUUAAUGACACCUUGUGAAAUUCUUGCGUAAUAACCUUAGAAAGAACAGGUAUUCAGCCCUGACAGUACUGCAUGGCAAUUGCAAAGGUCUUCAGGUAUUUAUGACCAUUAUUUAAAAGAAAAUAUAAUCUAAAAUGUAUGUUUCCCCCAAUUACUCUGCUCUAGAGAGUACUAAAAGCAGUACCCUGACUCAGCCUAUCACAUAAACAUCCUGCUGCCCCCGAGCAGCCUGAUACUGUCUUCCUCCCAGGAUGAGGAGCUGAAUAAUAAGUGACAAUCACAGCUCCUGCUGCAGGAAAACAGGAAGCUCGAGUUGUACAACCCCUCUAAACACUGUCCUACCUGCUCCACUCCUCAAACGCAACACAAACUUUUUCCUCUCCUCUUUCCUUUCCUGUGGUUUAACAGGAGCACUGGAUGUAAGUUCUGGAAGAUACGGAUACAGACCUAGUGCACCCCUGUCUGGUGGAAGCAAAGCAGGGAAGCAUCCCAAAUGCUUCCCACCAAGAGACAUUCAUACUUGAAGCUGCCAAAAAUGGAUAUAUAAUAUAUAUAGUGGAUCUAUAACUCUUAAAUUACCAGAAGUCUAAAGGAGCUGGUGUUGUCAAAGUACUCCAGCUCAAGGUGGUGAAGUGCUAAACCUUGUCCUGAGCUGCCCCAUGCAAUUAGGGCAGUUUCAUGAGUGUGCAUUGUGACCUGCAAUAAGUCUGUUCCCCUCGUGGCCAAGUGUAAAAGACUCAUCCCACUCCAAGCAAUGCUCUGGGAGCAGGGCAGCUUGUUUUCCAUGGCUGCUGCCACAUUUCUGCAGUGACUGGUCCAACUUCACACUAUUUGCUGCUCUGAGAUGAGCAAAAUUUGGAUGUCGUCUCCAAGUUUCCAAAUGGUAGCCUUUCAAACAAGAAGCAGGAGAAAAAGAAGGCUUCCAUUCUGCUUUUCCUUUAUCCCCAAGGUAAAAAUAUCCCUUGCUGAAUACAGCAGUAUUUGUCAUCACCUAGAAAAUCUCACUUUCCCACAAGCAUGCAGUGGGACCUGCCUUCCUCCGCUCACAUGUGCGUGCCACGAAGGCCGGCAUCAGGAGGAACAGUGCUUCGGGUAGGUCAUGGUCACACAAAACAAUGCUCUGCAAAAUUCUGAAGUGUGGGAGGAAUGUGAGAAGGCUCAGGACAAGGAUGUUUAUUGACACAGAAGAAUAUCUCCAAAGGGUUUGAGUCCUAUGAGAAAAAAAGUGAGCCCAAGGCAACACAGCUUGAGCAACUGGUUAGGCUAAAUCUGGAAAUCCUUACUCAGGUGAUCUUUUUACUUGUUUAAAGUAUCAGAAAACUUUUUUCUCACGUUUAUAGCAGUAGGAGUUUUCCUAAAUAAAGAUUUACAGGUGAAGCUUCAAAUGAAUUCCUUAAUUCCCUUGUACAGCUCUGUUUCAUAGCAGGAUGAGUUUUCCUGUCUGGCUCAAACUCCAGUCUGAAAACAAUGCUGCCCUCUACAACAUGGGGCAGGAAGCCUUUCAGAUUGAGGUCUGUUGGCCACCUCUAAGAGGUCUAUGGAAGAUGAAUGAGGAAAGCCCACCUCUAAGUUUCAAUCUGAAGUGUCAGCAGACAUUUGAGAAAGGUUUCCAGCACCAACACAAAUAUCCAAAACAGAAAUACCUUGGGGACAAAAAGUCACUGUACUAAGCAUAUAAAUAGCAAGCCCGAGUUAGAGAGAGAGACAAGAGGCUCCUUUCUUCUCUCUGUCCCGUCCCAUACCUACCUUCACAGCAGUCUCAGUUGUAUGCAAGAGGCAGCUCUGCAGCUGCUGGAAUAACGCAAGAUUAAUGCUGCUGUGCAUGUGGUCUGCUGCUGGUGAGGAAAAAGCCACCAAAUGUCUUUUUUGCAGGCUUCUGAAUGGUGCUAGGAUGCUUACACCAACCCUUGGAUCUAGGAGUGAGCACAUAGCUGCAGAAUUGCAAGCACCAUUUGUGUCCUGUGCUCCUCUUAGGAGAUCCAUACUAACAAACCUUUAUGAGCACUCUUGUUCUUCAUGCAUUCAGAAAGGUAGAACACUUUCUCCAGAGAACAUUGCUUUACUUUUGCCUUGUGACUGCAUGCAUGACAAGUCUGCUUAAAAAUAAACUGCCCUUCUCUCAAGCACUUUCACUCACCAGGGCUGCAGCUGGGGCAGUCCCUGCCGAAACGCUGUGGCUUAGUGCAGGAAGACAAGUGCAACUGCCAGCUGUUAGCUAAGAGAACAUGGGUCUUUCCUUCUGCCCUUCUGUUUCGUAAUCUUACUGCAAACCUUGCUGUUCUGUCUACCCAUUGCACCAGGAGGAGCGCACAUAACAGCUGAGUAUAAAUGCACCUUUUCAGCUGGGAAGGAAGACGACGGCCUUUCCUCUCUGGCCCUGCACACUGACUCCCCAGCAUCAGGUUAUGCUGUGCUACUGAGUUGUGGGGGACAGCUUGCAGGGACACAAGGCCUGAUGUCCUGAGCAAGAGAUAUGGGGAUCCCAGAGCUCCCUCUGUUGGGAAAAACUCAGCUCCAUUUUCCCAAAGAAGGCAAAUGCACCCAUGGCACCUCCAGAGUGCCGCAGCCCCUUUCCUAUUCAUCUUCAUGGAAUCAUAGAACCACUUGCGCUGGAAGGGACUCUUGAAGGCUACCUGGUCCAACUCCCCUGCAAUGAACAGAAACAGCUAUGGGCAGGUCAGAGCCCCAUCCAGCCUCAUCUUGGAUGUCAUCUUCACAGGUCAGGCUUCCCGGGGAAGGGGAGAAAGAGAAGGUGCGCCUGUGCGUGUUCCCCUUUUAGCAUGGCAGGAUGUGCAGCCCUGCACUCACCUGUACAACCCUUCUCCCGAGCUGUGCAGUUCCCUAUAGCCAGUGCUGCCAACACCCCAAACAGCAUUUCACCAAGCAGCUAUACUGAUGGAGAAUGACACAUCUGUGGAUGUCUCACCCCAUCUGGCUCUGCAUGGAGAUGCCGGCAUGUGGCUCCUUUCUGAUGGGGACUGCAGUGAUGUGGAUGGUUCAAACGUUGAUUUAAUAAGCUGAUUUAUUCUCGUAAAUACAAAGCAGAAGUGUGUUUGUGCUGUGUGUUCCCUGCCCCUUAGCCAAACAGCUGCCCAAACAGUACUUUAACCCAGGCUCUGGGCGUGUUUUGCUUUAAAUCAACAUAGGAAGCUCCUGACACCCGUCCUCCAUGUCUGCCCCCGCUCAGUGUUGAGGUCCCAGUACGGCUCUGCCAUGCGUUUCCUUCUCCGCAUCGUCAUUGUAGCCACCUUGGGCAUCAUCAUCCUUGUGACCUGGAGGCUUCUCUGGACCCCAGGAGAUCUUCUGCAGCAAUUCAUAGAAGGACAGAAGAAAUUGCUGUCUCAUUGAUGGGCUCCAUAUAAGCCAUAUCUUGAGUCCCAGCCCCAAUCUGACAGGCUGAGAAGACAAAGGCUCCCUUUCCCUUUGGCCACUACUAAGAAAACAUCUCUCAGAAAACGUCGCUUUCAAAGAAGUCUCAUUUCAGUGAUAGUAGAGCUCUGCACCUCGUUAAAUCCUGCGGCAGCAUCACUGGAGUUGCAUUAUACUGACACCUAGAGUUAGCAAAGGAACAGUACUGCAUUGCUAGGUAAGGAUGUGCAGAUGUCUAAUGAGACAUCUCAGUAUAUCAGACAUCCCUGUGUUUAUUACCUUUAUUUGCAGAACAACGUCUUUGUGAUUGCUAGUGCACAAAAUACAUAAGUUCUUUGUAACUAGUUUCCUCUGCAUUCACAACCCUGUGCCUGUUGCACAGUUAACUGUGGAUCAAACUGGUUUUCAUAGCCAGCCUAAAAUUUCUCACUGGGUACCCAAUUAAAAUCUGCAAAUGCACAAGCUAAAGAGGAUUAAUGGUUCAUUUAGAAAAGUCUGAGAGCAGUGUGAUCUCUAACACGGUGAAAUUAGUAAUACUGCUUCACAUACCUGUCCUAUAUCCAUGGCUGGAUUCAGUCUGGUGCCAGAAUCCAUAACAAUGCAUGAAUGUACUGAGAGACAGAAAUAAAGAAUAAAUCAGCACGGCUGAUGAAACUGGUGCAUUGUGGUUUCAUAUAAGGAGGAGUAAUAUAUCUAUCCACCACUACCCACUCUUGGCCAGUGCUCAACAACUUACGUCAAGCUCAAUUGCUCAUGCUAUCUUUUAAACUGAGUUCAUCCCUAAUGUAAAACAAAAUAACUCACUGCAGUUUCCCCUGGAGAUCGAUCGGAACCAGCACAGAUUGGGUCCAAGCUGCCAGGAGCAAUGCUCUGUACCUGAGCAUAACCCAUUAGGGCAUAAGGUCAGAUUCUAAUGAAUUGUCUUAUUUCUUCAUCCUUUCUAAAAGAUUCCAGCGCUAUUUUUAUUUAAUUUUGAUACAUUGCUGUUCCUUUCUGCUAAGGCAGUGCUGCUAUCUCUCACAUAAGUAAAUCCCAUAACUAGGAAAUGGACAGAAGGCCACACUGGACCAAUGGUAGAGCUAGGGACAGGCUGACAGCCAGUGCUCACUUUCUUUUAAUGUUUUCUUUAUCCAAACAGGGGGCCAUUUCCCUGCUGACCACCUCAUCUUGUGGUCACCUGUCAGGCAAUCCAUCUCAACCUCAGAGCAAGCAGAACCGUAACUGAAGUAGCAGAAUGGCUUCUCUUUGUUAGUUUGAAGUAGUAGCCAAGGUCAGGAAUUUUAGACAGGAAAAACAAACAACAAAAUCAGAUUUCAUUCCACAAACAGUCAAAAGAAAUACCACCACAUCACAACUUAUAAAAAUCUUAAUGCUCUUAUGUUUUAUCCCCUCCAUCAAGCCCACGCAGAAAUGAAAAGCAUGAAAAGCUAUAAGUAGAAAUCUGAUAAAACUGCCCUAUAUUCCCAAACCCAAUUGAAACUAUUUCAGUCAUUUUUAUUUUCCAGUGAAUCUCAGGGCUGAUGGUGGCUAUUAUGGACUCACUCCUACAAGUCCAGUAGCAAAUCCUUUGCUUUUUUGAAUGCAGUUAAAUAUUUCUUGGAGGUCAUGUGUAAUGUUUCUAGGUAGGAAAGGAGACGUAGCCCUGAAACAAACGGACUGGGGCUAUAAAUCCUCCCAGAAUCUCCCUGGAUGCAGUCAAUGCAACUGAAUAAGAACUGCCUCUGCAGUAUGAAUACUCACUCAUUCUAUAGAAUCCAACCCCAUUGCUGACAGGCUAACACGGAUCUCACAGGCAAUUUUAAUCUGGCAUGGUGAAUAAGAAUUUGAAAACAAUUAGACUUCUCUCUGACCAGGACUGGAGCCUAUCUACAGAAAUAUAGGUAACCACUUCAGACUUAUUUGGUAAAGUUUGUCAUAGGCAGGCCCCAGGAUCAGUCAUAACUUGGGAUUUGUAGACAAGUCCUUGCAAGCUUUGUCUGUUUCACUUGCUCUCUUGCCUCAAACCUCUGCUAAUAAGAUGCAGAAAGAUAUAUCUGCAUUCAGGGGGUGCCAAUGAAAACAGUCUGACAAUGCUCAUUUGUCUGGUGAGACAGAUUACUUACCUGGUAGUCCCCGAAUCCUUUAGGAUUGGACUGUUUCAUCAGCUCAAGUCUUUUUAAGGCGGUCUGACAUGCGUUCUAAAAACAAAUAGAGAAAAGCAAUAUUAUAAGGCUUGAAAAGACAGCAUGUAGUAUUAAGAACACUUUAAAGUCUCAAAGAAUUUUAAUAAUAAAUCAAUAUUUCCUUUAGGACUUUGGCACAUAUAUAAAGGAACAAAGCUCACUAGCAGAUGGCUUGUUGAGUAGGAGAAACGUAAACUGAAAAGAAUUUUAAAACAGAUUAUGCUGAUAGAAGAGAGGAAUCCCAAAUACAGCAUAGAAGUUCCCAGACCAUUUCACAGAAUACCUUAAAUCCACUUGUUUAUACAGGAACUUUACCAACUAGCAGUGGGUCACCCUAACACGUGUAGCAAGGUGAGCUCCUAACAUUGAACAAAAUCCUUGCUGAAAUUCAGCCUACUCAAGCAAGCUGUGCAGAAAAAUAAAACCUGCCUGAAAUACUUCAAUUUUUUACUUUUGCUUCAAACUUGAGGAUGACCAGGACUAAGUUCUCCUUUUCAAUGGAAAUGUCAUAUGCCCUAUAAAUAGAUGCCUUGAUAACUCCACCCCACGUCAGAGACAACUAUGAUGAUGCCAUUGCUACGGAGAUACUUGCUCUAAGUAUAUAACGCCUAGAGGUCUUUGGCUCCACAGCAUAAGCCACAAACCACCUGCAAGUAACAUUGUGCUUCAAGUGUAAGAUCUUGUUAAUUACUAAGAUAGUCAGCCAUUUAAAUGGAUAAUUGUUCUGUUCAUUCUGAACAAUCACAAAGACUCCAUUUUAUGACUACAAAAAGAUUGAAUGAGAAAGAAAAAGUAUAAGAACAAAAUAUGGCCACUUGUUAUCUAACACCCCCUGAUAGUUAUAGAAGUUCUGGGAUACCUUUUGCCUGCAAAGCUCUUUCUAAAGUUGUUUUCCUUAAGCAAUAGAUAAAUACACAGCAAGUUAUCAUCUUCUUGAGCCCCAGCUUAAGAUCCAGUAGCCUUAAUAAAUUGCUAUCAGUACAUAGAUGGUCACUGCAUUGAUAUCCACACUUACAGAUCCAGCUGUUGGGGAGGUAUUUGGGAUAGUGUUCAUGAUGGUCUAACUGACAUAAAUUUUGGAGGUGGAGAUUCUCAGCAACCUGCUAGCAAUCUGCAGAGCAAAGAAAAACGAUCGAUAAGUGGCUCUUCUUAUAGAGGAGCAUGAUCAUUCACUGCCUACACUGCCAGGGUUCACACUGCAACUUCCACCCUCUUCCAGUGAAAAGUUUCUCUUUCCUUGGAGACUCAGUUGACCUCAUGUCUACAUGGGGCAAACUUAGCAAUUUUCUGGCUAGUUCUCAAGCACAACAUGAAUACAUGUGCACACUUUUGCCAAAACAACAGGCAUUCACUUCAUUAUUGUGAGACCAAGUUCUUCUCUCAAUUACAAGAGUCUCAGAGGAUUAAGAGCCCUACUAGAUUUUCCAUUUAUUUUCAAGAAAAAGCAUGGUUGUUCUUAGGCCUUUUUACCUAUUAAGAUAUUAAAGUAUACAGAUAAAUGCAAUGUGACAAAUAUACCAAAUACACAAACUGUACUUUCAUGGGACGAAAAUAAAUUGCUUUAAGGUUAGACUGUAACCAUAACUUGCAUUAUCUACCUACAAGAUGAGAAUUCUAAUUCUCCUGCUCAGAUGCAGUAGUACUUUGAAAACCCAGCUGCUGAAACAGUUAAGAGGAAUUAAUUAUGAUUUGUUACCCUAGAUGUGCACCCAGCAGCAGUGUCAAGCUGCCUGAGAGAAUGCUACAGAUUGAGUGUAAUUUGCCUUAAAAGAUGCCUCAUUUGUUAAAGUCCAAGCUCAUUACUACCUGGAUCAUUCUGGUGUGAAGUCCUUGACCCAUCUCAGUCCCACCACAUGUUAAGUGACACAGAGCCAUCUGUGUGUGUGUAUACAUACAUACAUACAUAUAUAUAUAUAUAUAUGAACCAGAGCUCCAGCGUAUAAAAGGGAAUAUUAAUCCAAUUAACCAUAAACAAACCAGUGAAGUGUCUAGCAGACCUUGCUUACAAAUUACAGAGAGAAUGAAUGUUCUUUGGUGUACCUAGUGGCUUUAGCCACUAGUAUACAAGUGAGGUGAAUUUGGUUCAGUAUCUGCAACUCUGUAGAAGGUGACUUGGCAAACCUCAGCCAAUAUUUUCAGCUGAGAAUGUAGGUGAAGUAACCCUAAUAUGCCUCUGAAACAGAGGUGCACUAUUCACCUGAACUUGCCAAUGCCACUGACACUCCAUCAAGUCAGGUUAAACAUAGGAACAAAGAUGUCAUUUUUCAGUGUCAGAGUAUUUCUACUACUGAUGAAGAGGGAAUAUACAGGGAAACAAACGCAAUACAAACAAUGGAAACUUAACUGCAUUGUGUUUGGGUUUUUUUCUGGACAAAGAAGAAAGUCAGAGAGGCAGCAUAAAUCUUACACCUCUACUGAAAAGAUGAUUUACCAACCUGGCUCAGAAAUGGGACAGUGUGGCUGGUGCCAAAUUUGGUGGGAAUAAUACACAUCCCUCUUUUUCCAGCAAUUCUGCCUGCAAGGAAAAAUAUUUGCAUGCUCAUAAGGCUUUCAUUGCAACUCAGUGUCAUGCUUCCCUCUGACAGAUUGGGUAUCAAAGCAGAAGUGAAAUACGUGAAUGCAGCACAGACUGAGUGCAAUAGACUACAUUAAUCACUGAUUUUUAAAAAAGAAUGGUUUUGUUUAUGAGUCUCUGCAAGAAAAAAUCUGAAUUGAGGAUGCCCCCCUAGGUAUUAGAAAAGCAAUUGCCUGGUUAUUAGAUACUCAGUUGUGAAUAUAAGCCAACUCAGAGAGAUGUUAAAGAGAUGGAAAGCCUACACAAACUGUCCUGAUAGUCAUGUAAAAAUUCAAGCAAAGACUAUACUUUACAGACCCUUCUUCUCUGCUACAUUUCCCUCUCUUAAAAGAUAACAUUAUGCUAGGCCUAAUUCCUGCCUUAUUUAAGAUACCAAGUCGCUGAGAGAAGUUUCUUCACGCAGUGGACCUGAAGGAAUUUAUUUAAAAGAAAUGUUUGGAAGUUGUUUUGCAAAUAUAUGGACUAACUUCACAUCACUCAAGCUGCUAAGACAACUCCAGAAGUUAGAAAUCCAAUUAGUUUCUUCCUGAUGUGAUAGCUAGAGCUUGUCAAACACUCAUCCUGACAUUGUGAUGGAGUAAAUCCCUCCAAUAUUUGGUUAAAAUGAAUCAGGUCUUCAUUAUAAAGAUUGAGUUGCUGUACCUUCCCAAAGAAACAUAUAAAAGACGUGCCAAAUGUAAUGUUGUAGACUAGGUCCAUUUAAAAGAUGACAGCAAAAGCACACUGAUUCCUUGUCUUUUCUUUUCUGUUCAGCCUGCAGAGCAUUAGAAUUAACAGAUAUAAAUCCAUUUAUGGGAAAAAGGGACAUUUGACAUGAAGGCCAGAAAUUUUCAAGAGACUAAGAAAUAAGAUGAAGUUGCCUAGUGCCUUUGGGCUUUUUCUGAAUAUCUAGUUGUAAAACAGGUGUUAAACAAUUGAGGCUACUGAGAGAAUUCAAGGAAGCAGAAGACAAUCCAUGUCACAAUAGGACACUCACAGAACAAACUGGAGAUUCUGCUAAGGGUUUAGCAAAAAUGACACAAGAGCUCUUAUGCUCCAUAAUUUUCUGGAAUUUUGUUCAGUUCUCAGAACACGUUCAAAGGCAGGACUGAUCUGAAAUGUAUCAGUGAAUCUGUACCUCCUCCUCAGAUGGCAGGCCACAUUUCUGAGCAAGGUCACUCAUCCAGCACUCACUCAUCAUCCCCUGAGGACCUCCAAAGCCAUGGAAAGCUGUGCUGGAUGGUAAGUUGGUCUUUCAGACAAAGCCCACACUGCUGACGCUGAGGAUGUGGUAGGAGUUAUCCAGGUAAAACAGGGCUCUAUCCAUGGAGGUGUACACAUUUUACAUGAAUUAUAUGACAGGCUUCCAACUAGCUGCCAAAGCCAGUCUGAAAAGGUCUGAAGCUAAUUUACGACAAGAGUACUUUCUCUUCUACAUAAUCUAUAUUCUAGAAAACUGAAAAUUAGAGAGAAUUUUUAUUUAUACAUAUCACUCACUUGAUUACCUACAUGGGAGAGGCAUUAAUGGAUAUAGAAAGUAAUCUUUAAUCUAGAUUUUCUCCCUCAUACCAUCUUUAUUAGUAUAUUGGAGUUCCCACUCACUUAGCAGGUAUUCUGCAUCAUUUUUGCUCACUCUGUCAGUGUGUAGAACAGCACUCAUUCCAGGGAUCCAAGCUGGUGCUAGUAUCACUGGAUGCAACAUGUCUUUUAACCUCAUCUCAAUACCUUAAGGAAAAGUAAGACUCCUUCAGCAACAUGUAGGUGACAGAGAGCCUAAGUCAACCAUUUCCCAGGGAAGUGGCAGGUAAACUGUCAAUAAGUCAGUUCAUUGACCAUCUAGCAUAUGGAGAAUGUACAAUCAAAGAUACCAAACUAAAAUCUGUUUUCCACUAAUACCAGAAUUUUCAUAGGGAAAUUCUAGAUACAUUUUUUCUAGGCUAUUUAGUACUUGUAUGACCUGGCUAUUGGUAUACACAUUCCUUCAGGAAAGAAUUAACAUAAUGAACAAGACAAAGCUGAGGGAUUGUCUCCUGAAUCAACUGGUCAGAAUAAUAGAAUUAUUCCAUGUGUCUUAACUCUCUCUCAUUCCUCGUGCAUGAGGAAGUAUACAUUCAGGGGGAAAACAUGCCAGAUUUCAAGGCAUAAGAGUUUACUUUACUUAACUUCGUGUCUUGGCCAUCUGAGUGUGCAUUCUGAAAAUGACAACUUAUGCUUUGUCAGAAAAAAUACAUUAAAAAAAUCAUAUAAAGCAAUAUCUGGCACAUCAAGGACCUAGAUCUGUCCCUAUUUUGUUUCACACUCUGUCAGAUUGCAAAGGAUAUAGGAUUUUCUUCUGGAAGGGAUCAUACUUGGAUAUCAUAACAGCACAAGCAACACAUCCACCUUCCCCACAGCCCAGUUUGGUUCCAUGGAGGCCCACUGAGAAUACAGGAAUCAAGGAAAACAUGAAAAAUGCUGGCAGAAGCCUGCUCAAACAGUUGUCAAUCAAGUCUUCACAAAAUUUUUUUUCUGGAAACCAAGCACUCAUUUUUCCUGCUCAAUAAAUAAUUUAAUAUAGGUGAAGUCUUAAAUGCCGACACGUGAUCUUUGGGAUCUACAUCCCAGAACAUUUUAAGGACUCCUGAUUACCUCCUCUGACAAUAUUUGUAUUCAGUAUUAGCAAGCUUAGGCAAAGGUGUAGCAGUGAGAAGCACACACAGGCAGAAGAGACAGGCCAUUUGUUUUUCCUCUUCAACUUGAUCUACGCAAGAUACAGUCAAAGUAGGGCUGCUGAUAGUUCUCCUGGAAACCUCAGAGAGGAGCGUGAUUUAUAUCCUUCCUAUAUAUCCUUAUCUCCAACUCCAGAUGUAGCAGCAAAGGUGAAAUAAGUAUGCACAAUUCUUUUUAAGGAGUAUACCAACACUAAUACGAACACUCCACAGUAUGUCCACUCCCAGCUGAUUCAGACAAAGUCUCAUUAAACAUGGCAUGACGCUACUCACUGAACUAGGUCUAGCAGAGCCAGUCUAGUAAGCAUGGCAAUAGCUACCCAGCUCCCAAAACAAAGCUGACUGGCAUGCGACCAGCUUCACACAAUACUCAAAUGUGACUGGUUGCAUCCACUCACAUAAACACACCCAUAAUACAUGACAAACCUGUGCCUCCACGUGUACAUCCACAAAUCAUCCUAACUUCACCUAUAAUAAGCACAACACAAGAGAAUCAAAUUAUUGGCUACUACCUACCCAGAAACAUCCAAAUUGCUGGAUGACAAAGCAAGCAAUCCAAGUGUUUUGGGCAGAAAACUCUUUACACAUAUUGGCCUUCUUUUGGCCAGUUGGCUCAGAUGAAGUACAUAGGCUCCUCUGCAGCAGUUUGGCAAAUAGGCAUGUAAUUUCCCCAUCACCACAACAACAACAAAAAAAACCCAACCAAACAACAACCCAACAAUCUGUGGUUACUUUCCCCUCGGAAAAUGGGCACAGGCACAUCACAAGCUUUCCCCAGCAGUUAUCCUUGACACCGAGUUUCUUCCCCAUGGCUGUGGCAAUGACCAUUGCAAACCCUUUCAAACCAGUUCCCAAGACAACAAGGAACACAAAAAGCUUCAGGACAGUUUCCUAGGUGGGUAAAGGCUAUAUUGUUUUCUAUGCUUAGAUCAAAGAAAACAAAGAAAGUUUCCUGAAAAUUUCCAAAAGCAUUCCAUUACGUACUCCAACCGAGCAACUGAAGGUCUGGCCAAAUGUCUCCUUGCCUGGAAGCUUUCAAUAAGAAAUAAAACACAAGCUGAAGUCUUCAUUCAGUGAAGGAUUUAAAACACUCAGCUUCAUCCACGUUCAGUGAAGUACUUCAACAUGUGCUAAGUCCCAUCAGAGUAAAAUCUUAGCUUAACUUCAUCAAGAAAUGGUUACCACUAUGUAGAACAUGUUGUGAAUAAUCCAUGCUUUUAUACUAGCCAAACUAAGAGCCCAGUUCCCUACUUCAGCAACUUCAAACCACUCCACUGUAGCUGGCAGAGCCUUGGGAUCAGAGGGAGGUAAGAGGUAAGAGUUUGGAGGACAUCCUGGAUUAAACUCAGUCUCACAAACAAGGUCACAGUCAUUUCUCUGCGCUCACAGUCCUGCUGGAGCCAUGUUUACUUAUGAGUCUUUUUUGCAGAUCAUACUGUAAGAUCCCUCUCUCCUGGAGAGCAGCUCUGUGGAGGAAGACCUGAGGGUCUUGAUGGACAACAGUGGGAGGUGGGAGGCAAAUGGAUGGGGCCAGGCUCUUCUCAGUGGUGCAUAGAGAUAGGACAAGGAGUAAUGGCCUAGAACUUGCACAUAGGAGGUUCCAUAUAAACACGCAGAAGAUGGUAAGGGUGAUGGAGCACUGGAACAGGCUGCCCAGAGAGGUUCUGGAGACUCCUUCUAUGGAGAUAUUUGAGACCCAGCUGGACACUUACCUGUUUGACCUACUGGAAGGUUCCAGGAGGGAACCUGCUUCAGCAGAAUAUUGGGCUCUAUGAUCUCUUGAGGUCUCUUCCAACCCCUAUGAUUCUUUGAUUUUUUUUUUCUUAUACUGCCCCUGCCUUUUACUCAUUGUUGAUUGGCUAGAUUUGUCCUUCAAACAUAUCAUUCCUCCAGUGGUUUGUUACACCUACCUGCUGUGAUUUGUUCCUAAAUUAUUUUAAAACCCAUUGGGUGGAGACAUUAUCUUUUGCCUGAUUCCCAGAACAGGAUCCAGAGCUCUAUAUCUAUCUAAUCCAUCAAAACAACUCUUGCUCACUUCCCUCUGUGUCCCUAUACAAGAAGGGUUUGAAUUAUGCCCAUUGCCUUCAGUGGGACUAUGAUCAGCCUUUCUAAAUAUUACUAUUAAAAAAACAAGAUUUUUUCUUUGCACAGUUACUGAUUUGUUUUGCUACUAUAAAUUUUGUACUACAGUAUAUUAAAAUUUAUUUCCUACUCGCACUCCCAUUUUGUGGACUGUUCCAGAGAGGUGUUAAUCUCAUUUCCCCAUGAUUUAAACGUACAAAAUUUGGAUCUCAAUAAUCAAUUUCCAUUUGCUAACUUACCUAUGCCCUCAGAUGAGGAGUGGAUGCACAGAGGCAGCUGGGCUUCCUGUUCUCUUCUCCUGCCCUCAGUGGAACUGGGAUCAUGCAGAGAAACAUCAGACAUUUACCAGAUAUCAGCCCCCCACACAGUGCUUAUUGCCCCCUAUUUAACACCCUUCCAUGUGCUACUCUUCCACACCAUACAGUGCCCCCACUGUGCUUGUCCCUCUCUCCUAUGUAACAUCUCCCAUGUAACCCACGUACUGCACGACUCCUCUGAUAUUACACUGCCCCCCAUAUUACCUCCAUGCACAAGGACCUUUUCUGAAGAAGCAUACCAUGAAUGAAGAGCCUCAUUUUACAGCCCUAUGCUGAACUGACACAGCAGCACAACCUCAGCACCCUCCAAAAAUACACUCCCAUUGUUCCAAACAAGUGUCACACUGAUGCACAUCUGACCAUAAUUGUUCUGUAUGCCAAACUGUUUUAAGCACGUCCUAUGCAUAGACAAAGUCAUGCCUCUGUAAAUAAUCCUACAAGAUACACCCACCUACACUAUAGAGCCCAAACACCUGUAUGCCUCCUCCAAGCAACACUCACCACCUCUGUACAAUGCACAUUGAAAUAUAUGAUCCUCCUUACAACAAUAUAUGAUCCUCUACAUAAUGCCUCGCCAAAUAACCUCAGUGUUACAGGUGGAACUCCAUUCCACAGUCACAGCACUGUGAAGAUGCACAUUGUACAGACCAAUAAAUAACUGAGACCACGUGCUCCACUCUCGUUCUUUUGCUGCUCAGAGCUCCUGUCAUCACUUUCUUUUCUAGGCAGCAGCAACAGCUUCUGGCAAAAAAGAUUUGGAGAAGGGGAUAUGUUGCUUACAGAUUUCCCCAAGAAAUCAGAUAAUAUUUUUCUAAGGAAAAAGGAUGUUCCUGAUGCUUCCUAAAACACUAAGCAGUUCACUUACCUCCUGCUUACUCACCUCAAGGUUUUAGCAGAGUACCUUCUUUAUUCUACAGAGGACUAAGGUUGCGUUCAGUCAUUGAAGCCCCUUGCCAGCUGGCCUUACCACAUGGAAGCAGCAUUGCAAUAUCCAUGCUUGCCAACCCAGCAAAUGCAGCCUGCCUCAGGUGGAUGUGAAGGAAUCUGCUGAGAAAUUAAUCUGACCAGGGAAACCCAGUGGUUACCCCCAGCCCAGGUCUCCCUUCCCUUGGAAAGACUCCAAGUUCAGGCUUAGAGAAGGGAUCUCCAUCUCCUACCACCAUGAUGAUAAAAUGUGAAAUGCUCACCAGUACAAAGCAUUACAAUUUAACAUAGAAUUUGCCAAACAAUUAAUAUUCUGCUUGCUCCCUUGCUCCAUCUAGCUGAAUAAAAUAAUUUCGUGUCAAUCUAAAAGUAAAAUGGAACCUUUCCUUUUUUUAGAAAAUGUGCUCUUUCUUUAUGUAUAAUACACUCCAGUGAUCAUAUUCUCAUUUUAAUAGGCAAGGCUGCUGUUUUCAAAAAUGUAGGGUAAUUUCUCAACAAAUAAAGAUAGAUUUGGCCCAGGUUCCUACACCUCUGAGUUUUACAGAAACCAAUGCCUGCUGUUGCAUGAGGAUGGUGUUGCACCCCUGUGAGUGCAUACAAAGAAGUUUUUUGUCUCAGAAGUUGCUUGAGAGGCCUGUGGGACACUCUAAAGGACUCCCUGCUGCCUACACGUGGUUGCCAGGGGCAACAAAGAUAAGGGGAGGAUCCCAGCUCACAUUCUGCUUCCGAGAUGGAUGGAAGUGACCCUAAGAUGAGGGGCCCUGGCUGCACAGGGGUAGAUAAGGCUGCGCAGUAGUG